rnacentral:rRNA from 1 species
CCUACGGGUGGCAGCAGUGGGGAAUAUUGGUCAAUGGGCGCAACCCUGACCCAGCAACGCCGCGUGAAGGAUGAAGGUUUUCUGAUUUUAAACUUCUGUCGCCAGGGACGAAAAAUGACGCUACCUCGUAAGAAAGCCCCGGCUAACUCCGUGCCAGCAGCCUCGGUAAUACGGGGGAUGCGGGGGUUUUCCGGUUUUAUGGGUUUUAAGGGUUUCGCGGGCGGAAGAUCAAGUCAGAGGUAAAAUUGGGAGGUUAAACGUGUUCGAGCCGUGGAAACUGGUUGUCUUGAGUGAGCGAGAAGUAUGCGGAAUGCGUGGUGUAGCGGUGAAAUGCAUAGAUAUCACGAAGAACUCCGAUUGCGAAGGCAGCAUACCGGCGCUCAACUGACGCUCAUGCACGAAAGUGUGGGUAUCGAACAGGAUUAGAUACCCGAGUAGUC